rnacentral:rRNA from 1 species
GCAUAUCAAUAAGCGGAGGAAAAGAAAACAACAGGGAUUGCCCUAGUAACGGCGAGUGAAGCGGCAACAGCUCAAAUUUGAAAUCUGGCUCUUUCAGAGUCCGAGUUGUAAUUUGCAGAGGGCGCUUUGGUGUUGGCAGCGGUCCAAGUUCCUUGGAACAGGACGUCACAGAGGGUGAGAAUCCCGUACGUGGUCGCUAGCCUUCGCCGUGUAAAGCCCCUUCGACGAGUCGAGUUGUUUGGGAAUGCAGCUCUAAAUGGGAGGUAAAUUUCUUCUAAAGCUAAAUACUGGCCAGAGACCGAUAGCGCACAAGUAGAGUGAUCGAAAGAUGAAAAGCACUUUGGAAAGAGAGUCAAAUAGCACGUGAAAUUGUUGAAAGGGAAGCGCUUGCAGCCAGACUUGCCUGUAGUUGCUUAUCCGGACUUUUGUCCGGUGCACUCUUCUGCGGGCAGGCCAGCAUCAGUUUGGGCGGUUGGAUAAAGGUCUCUGUCAUGUACCUCUCUUCGGGGAGAACUUAUAGGGGAGACGACAUGCAACCAGCCUGGACUGAGGUCCGCGCAUCUGCUAGGAUGCUGGCGUAAUGGCUGUAAGCGGCCCGUCUUGAAACACGGACCAAGGAGUCUAACAUCUAUGCGAGUGUUUGGGUGUCAAGCCCAGACGCGUAAUGAAAGUGAACGGAGGUGGGAACCCUUUGGGUGCACCAUCGACCGAUCCUGAUGUCUUCGGAUGGAUUUGAGUAAGAGCAUGGCUGUUGGGACCCGAAAGAUGGUGAACUAUGCUUGAAUAGGGUGAAGCCAGAGGAAGACUCUGGUGGAGGCUCGCAGCGGUUCUGACGUGCAAAUCGAUCGUCAAAUUUGGGCAUAGGGGCGAAAGACUAAUCGAACUAUCUAGUAGCUGGUUCCUGCCGAAG